rnacentral:sRNA from 18 species
CGUGUGGCUAACGCCACACGCUAAUAUCUAUCGGUGCUCUGCACCU